CGAUGCAUCGUGAUUCGGAUGUGGACGAUUCUGCAUUGAUGCAGCAACAGAACAUAAUUGAUUAUAUUAAUGUAAUGUAUAUAUGCUAUCUGCAUUAAAAACU